UAUAUGUUCGCUACCUUAUGAAGAAAUUGAGGGCAAGGCUUACUUUACAAUUAUUAUGAAAAUUUGACAAUUUGCUUCGUUUAUGACGUUGCGUACCAACAUUCGAAUCGACGGCCGGAGAUCUCACUAGUCGUACAGAAUAGGAAGGCAUUGUAAAAUAGAGCCCAAAAAGAUGCCUUGAUUUCUUCAGUAAAUAUAAUUACUAUCAGUUAGAGGUGAGAUAUGUGUAUAUGUCGAAUUUCCCGCUCAGGUGGUGUUAAUUGAUUUAUGUAAUAACAUUUAGAAAUAUUUCAGCUUCUCUAGCAUACCCUCGCUUUUAAGUCAGACAAUCGCUUACUAAUUUAUUGCAUUGAAACCAGCAUUUUUUAUUUGCUAUCUUUUUAUCUUGUGCUAUGUGUGUGCAUACAGUGGCAAAAUCAUCUGUAAAUAAAUGUAGCAAAAGCUAAGCUGGAAAGACUACAGUCUGUGAAUAGAUAUCCACUACUGCUAGAGCCCUGAUUUGCUGUUAACUAUUUGGUGUUCAUUUGUAUUUUUGUAUUCGUAUUUUGUAGCAGUUUGUUUUUCCUAUUGUGAGAAAAUUUAUUCAGACUAAAAAUUUGAUUCGAACGAAUAUUUACCACCGUUUGUAGCGUUAGUUGUGUUGUGUGUAACAUUUGUUAUGCUCAUCGUUGCCGCUCUCUACCUAGCAGAUUCCACACCAUUGGCUGAGCGCGACGAGGUCAGACAUGUGGUGAACAGCAGCUCGAUAUAAUACUUCAGUUGUUAAUUAAACGCCGAAGUUAAAGGGUCUCUGUAGGCAAGUAUUAGUGACACUGCGUCAUUCUGCGCAAUGCCGUCGCAAACUAUUGUGGAUAUUACAGAAGUGUCCUCAUCCAGGGUUGGAUAUUGGAGCUGAUACCUCAAUAAUAACUUUUUGUUCAGUAAAGUGUGAUUUUCUACUAGCUUGUGUAGAGUUUAAUUAAACAUUUUAUAAUGUUGAAAAAUAAUUACAUAUAUUAUUUAAAAACAUUGGAAAUACUUAUAAAAGUUUCCUGCAAAUAGAAAAAAUCGUUUAAGCAGCACAAAAUAGAUUUAUGGGGAAUAAAACGGAUACCAAAAUUUGAUACUCGCAUAAUAAAACUUGGCACUAAAACUAAAAUGAAAGUGACCCAAUCGAGAACCGAGAAUAUCUGUCGUAACAUAAUAAUAAAAUUGGAAAGUACAGGCAAACUCCUUGAACCAGAUUUAUUUGAGAUACUACGACUAUGACUGUGCUCAGAAAGUCACCCUAUUUAAAACAUUUUAUACAAAUUAAAUGAAUCUCAGUACCGAAGCUCUUGGGAAAUCUGUUGACUUCUCAACGGUAUAAUGCUGAAUCACUAUGAACAUACAUACAUACAUACAUAUCUAUUUUAUGUGUGCAUAUAUGAACAGAUAUAUUUGUCCGUAGUCAUGUUUCUAACCCAUAUACCUACAUACAUACAUACAUAUGCACAUGCAUUUUAUUUUGCCGACUCUGAGGUAAAUGAUCUUUAUUAAUGGAAUGCGCAGCUUCGAUGUUUGUAAACAACAAACCGGCUUUAACUACCGGAGUGAACUUGCCACAAUAAGACACUGAAGGAAAUUGUAAUUUCGCGAUCGCUCCGUUGUUCCGACUUUUUGGCAAAAGAAUGAAUAGGUGCUUAUGUUGUGCGAACCGCGCACCAAGUAAAUACUCCCAACGUAUUUCGAGAAUACGAGCACAAAUACGUACAUGAGUAUGUGCCUAUAAAACACAUGAAUAUGUUUUCGUUUCUGUAUAUGUACAUUUAUAAUUGUCUGUUAAUCGGUCGGUGUUAAAGGUUCUGCCACAAGAAUAAUUUUUGAAUCAGGCUAAUAUUAUGAAAGAACUGUAAUAAAAAUUAAAUAUACCAUACUAAUACAUUUUAAAAAUUAUUUUGAGAUCUUCAUAACACUUAAUUAUUUUUUAUAAAUUUCAGAGUCUGGAUAACAAAUUUUGGUUUAUUAACAAUAUUAUUGUUUUAAGAUGAAAUCCCUUCCAAUCGAAUAUGUUUUAUUUUCCAAAUAUUUAGGUCAUAAUCAAAUGUUCAAAAUUAAAAAGAUUUUACGUCUUAUGAGUAAAGACUGAUCAAAUUGUUUUCCCCUUAUUUUUUAUUUUGUCAACUAGAGAUCACUGUAAUUAUUACAGUGCAAUAACGAUGAUGAUACAUUAACAUUAACAUACUUAACCAUUCAUUUACGCUCAUUUUUAUGCAUACAUAUUCAUAUGUAGUAUUUGGAUGUGUACAUAUGAAUGUAGAAAGACGUAUUCAAAGUUAGUCGUGAUCAAAUAUUUUUCAUUAGCUUCAUUGGUGUUAAAUGCCUUGACACGUGAAUUUAAUUAUCAGUCGCCGAAUUGAAACAGUUAUUUACAUACAAUAUAGCAGCUAUACGUUAAAUGGCCUACAAAAUAUACAUAAGUAAAUACGUAUUAUUAAUGUAUAAAAAUCUUGGCAAGUACAAUUCAGACACUUCAUACAAUGUAAGAAAAUGCAUUGCCUAGCUUUUUUAUUAUUUGGAAAAUAAGCAUAAUAUAAAGCUAUAUGUCAUUUUAAAGCAACCAAACCAGCUUAUUUAUAUAACAUUUCAUUUUUCAUUUAACUCUUAUCCUAAUUAGGUUUCCUCCAACCCCUCAGAUCAGAUUGAACUGAGGUUAGACGAAAGUGUGUUGCCUUGCAUGAGAUCCGAAAAUUGGGAAAUAAUUAAUUAUUAUAAUGUCAUUGUUAAUAAUUUAUCAUCCAUCGACGACCGUAGAAAAAAUAUUUCUCUGGCAUAUAACGAUUAAUAACUGGAAAAAGAGCAAAUGGCAUCUACUACCUUUCGUAUAGUUUAGUGAAAAUAUUUAACUGUUUCUUCAAGCUUAUAAAAUAAAACACCGAAUAAUUUCAUUACAAUUAUCUAUUACCUAUUAUCUUCUUAUUUACCAUAUGAGUAAGAUAGAUUUGAGAUGAUUACGAUAGGUAAAUCUCACAAUUGGAGUAAGAAAAGUUACCACUGUAAAUAUUGCAUAUCACGUUUAUGUAUACAAGAACACGACAACAUACGACACAUAUACAUAUAUACCAACCUACCCCUGUGCCUCGUAAUAUUGUAAUGUGUCCGCAACGCUGCAUAGAAGCCAUUAAAAGUGUACUUCAAUUUACUGAAAGGACGAAGGCGAACAGAGCUGAUUUUAUGUGCGUGCGAGAGUGAAAGAGCAAGAGCACAAACUAUUAGAGGUGGUGCCGAAUAAAAAGUGGGUAUAAUGCAUAUGUGUUUGUAAAAAGGUGUAAUUGCGCGAACUCAUAUGCAUUGUUUACUCAAAUCUUGGCUGGGUCCUCUGGGGAAGCCACGAAACCCAAAAGAAGAACACUUUAAAAUAGAGGUAGACACUUGCAAACAUACACGAAAAUCUUACCUCAAUAUUUGCUUUUUGACUUCAUAAUUGUUUUAUAAUAGCACCAACUAAAUUGUUAAGACAAUAACUAGAAAACAAUCGGUAAUGAGUUGUAAUACUUUCUGUUCUGAAAAUUCCUAAUGAAUUGGCUUAAGUAGGUAUUACUCACCAUCCCAUCUCUUUCUGUGUAUUUUUCAGAGAACUAAUGCUCAACAGGAAUUAAUGCUGUACUUAUGAACGAAACUAAAUAACGGGAUCAAUAGUGCUAAAGUCAUAAAAUUGGCAACGUUUAACCUACUUUACUGCUGAAACAACAAAUAAGCAAAAGGAACAAUAACAAGCAUUUUAAACGCCGGCGGAGGUGACUAGUUAUAAUCCAUUGUAAAAUUCAUAUAUAUAUUUCAAUACAGUUGGUAUAUGUAUGUGUGUGCUGCACUAGUCCGAAGGCGUUGGAAAACCCGCUGACAUUGGAAAAUUUCUUCUUACUGUGCUGCUACGCUCUGCAUGUCGUAAUGAUUUGUUUCAUACAAGUAUGUCGAGCAAUUUGAUAUAGACGGUUACAUUAAGUUUUAGUUUGGAAUUUACUUUCUCUAUGUAUGCAUUUAUUUAUGCUGUUUCAAUUUUAUUUCUAAAGGAGAAGUUGCCAUCAGCUGCUGGCUCCGAACCAAACAUGUGCGCUCAGAUCGCUUUCGUCGGAACCGAACCAUUGGCAACGGGUGGCUUUUUAACAAUACUGAGAAAUAGCCCUUUAUGCCUUCAUAGUCGGGACAUUAGUCAGCAUAAUUUGUUCCGCAAUUUAUUUAACAUUGAAGAUCGCAUACAUGGUUUUUUAUUCACAAUUCCAUACAAAGGUAAUUACUUGAUAUUGACAAAAAAAUUAAAGAAAAUAAUUCUUGAAGUUGGAAAUAAACGUUAUAUAUCCGGCAAAUAUUGAAUAUCUCACUUUGAAAUAAUUUUUUUUUUUUAAUUUUAGUCUUUGUUUUCUAACUUGAUUUUUGUCUAAAGUAACGUUUUUUUCAUAGCAAUUAAAUAGUCUUAUUUAAUAAUCUUGUUAAUGACUUCAACUCUGAAACUUGUAAAUAGGCAAGGUACACUUUUAUUGUUAUAAUUACACUCUCACAAAGCAUUGCUAAAGAGUAUAAUACUGUCUGUCCAUCCGUCCAUCCGUCUAUGCAUCCAGUAACUUGAGUAAAAAUUAAGAUACUUUGUAAAUCACUUACAAUAAGACUUACGAGUACAAUAAGAAAAAAUCGGGUGGGGCUGUGCCGGGGCACACGGCCGUUGGUUUUAACGCGAAUCGCUUUUAAAGUAAAAUACUGAAAUGAAAACAAGAUUGACGAAGUUUUAAGUAUUUUAAUUUAAUUUUAAUUUUUUAUAAUUUUAAAAGAACAGGUACAUAAUAGAAACAUAAAUUAGUUAUUAUUAUCGGAGAUGAGUUCUGUCCCGGGGCAAUAUCCAAACAUUGCUCCUCAUUACAUAGCAAAGUAUGUUGUCGAGCCAGCAGGAUUUCAGAUUCUGGGGAAAAGUUGGGGUCGACAGACUCAAUCUGAAAUUCGAGCCCGAUAUAGUCAUCGAUGGACGACCAAAUCGUUAAAUUAAAUAAAGUUAUCUUCGUAGCGUAAUCGACGAAUUUGCAUAAAUGGUAACCGCGGUGAAAUCAAUCGAAUGCUGAUAGGGUCAAGCAGCGGUAGUCCGCUCGGCUUUGGAGGAUAACGAAAACCGUUUGAGCGCGACUGCCUUGGGAUUUUGUUGGCAUCUAUCGAUUUGCUACAGGUACUGCAUAAGCGAAAUUCCGUCACCUUUUCAUUGGGUAAUUUUGUUUGAAGGAAAGAAAUGUUGCAAAGUCUCGUUCGAACCAAAGUCGAUCAAAUGAUGCAAGAUAAACUAAACGGAUUGGCUUCAAAUACCGUUUUGAAGAGUUUGUCCGCUGAACGACAAUGAUUUUGCAUUGCUUCACUUCUACUGAUAUUGACAUCUCUCAGUUCCGUGGCAGAUCCAAUAGAUCAGCGUUGUCCACGGCCUAUGCGCACAAUAGCGCACGGACAGUGCCAGACACCUCACACCAACAUGUCGCGACAAGUGGCUGUGAAAGCACGAUUGUGCUUCUGUAUUCAACUCCGUAGGCAAACAAAGCAGAAUUUUGCGAUCAGUUGACGCUAGAAUAACCAACACAAGCAUAACGUGCACACAGUCACGUUGGACAACACUGCAAUAGAUAUAUCGAUCGUCUGUUCAUUCGUUAUGUCCAUAAGUAUAGGUAUUCCAGUGGUAGAGGUACUCGCGAGGUCGGCAGCAGCAGCUUUGCGACGUUCCCGAAACCGUCGCUCGACGCCGAACAUUGGGGUACCUAUGCGUGACCCACAGCCCCCUCUUUGUAACAAUAGCCGUAAUUUAUAUUUCUGGUUGCCUCUUGCAAGAGCUGAGGCCGGCAUACCAAAAUUUUUAUACGAGUAUAUUUAUUAUCACUUUCUGGUUAUUAUAAAUAAGUACUGUCCAAAUUACACUGAAUUUUAUAUAAAUCAAUCGGUUUAACUUGACAAACACACGAAAUAAUCACCGCGUUAUAUAGUCGGAGUCACGAGUUACACUGAAUAGAAACAACCGAAAGCGCGGGUUUCGCACAGUUAACGCAGUAUGCCUCCCCCGCCGCCCCGCUCGACCCCGACACGAACUUAAUGUCAUAACAGCGAGUUGACUAUAUAAGCGAAAUAUUCACACCACAUGUUUGUUUCUAAGGCUAAUAGCUUUUUAACUAUUAGGGUACGAUGAUACAAUAUAACCCUUUUCGUUACGGUCCACUUUUUAAAACUUCUACCCGUAUGUUUCGGCGCGAUUUUAAAGACGUUUCACGCCAAAAAAUGCUUAUUACGAUAACGAAUCACCUUCCUUAACUCCCCAUAUAACGGUUAUGUUGCAAAUUAGCAGUGCGAUAACUCAAUGAAUAAAUGCGCCAGAAGCCUUAAAUUUCACAACCAAGAUGAAAGGGAAGAGCUUUAUAGGAGCAAGUGCAAAAUUUGGAAGGUGGGCGUUGCCCCACCCACCCUUAGUUGAAAUUUUAUUUCUAACAUAUACUAGCAUACCAUUUGAUUCCUUCUCUUCCAGUCGAAUAUAUCGGGAUAUAGCUUUGCACAAGUAGUUCGCUAAAGCAAUUAAUUUUAUGCACAAAAAUUGUCGAAAUCAGUCUAUAACUCUUCAAGGACCCAAACACCAAAUAUCUGGACCCUAGAACAUUUAGCUGAUUUUUAAUCGAACAUAUCAGCCAAACUGUGAAUACUAUAUAGUUUUGAAAUUUGGGAGCAUUUUCUUGGGAUGAUGGCAUGCUCUUGUGCCUUCUUUAGCCUCCAAAUACCCAAUAUAUAACUGUGUAUAUUUUUGUCCAUGAUUGUAAACAAUCAAUGCAAAACCUCCUUAUUUUAAUUUUAGCAUAUACGAAAUUCUCAUAAAUCACUUUACUUAGCGAAAGUAUAAAACGUUCUGUUACAGCUGAACUCAACCUUCCUUACUUGUUUAAUAUAAAGUUUUGCGAACAUCUGAAAUUAAAUUUCCGUCUAUAAUCUCUUUCAUUUUGUCAACAUUAUACAAAAGUGUUAAAUGUAUUUGUCAGUCCUUUUUUCAGAUGGAUUCAACACUAGUCUGCAAAGGUUUCAUUAUAUUUUAUAUUAUUUAGUAGCAGCUGCGGCCACUCUUUAGACUUUCAAAGGUAAAGUAUUGAGACUAUUAUUGAAAUUAUGAGACAUUUUCAAGUUAAUUGAAUUAAAUAUUAAAAUUAUUAUAUUCUAAUAUUAGUUAUUUGAUUUGAUCGAGAGAAAAAGCUCGAAGCUUACCCUUUUGAUCAACAAAGUGAAUAUAUAGAACAACAAAUUUCUAAAUAAUCAAUCAACCAUAAGAUUUCAAAGUAAUGACAAUAUAGGUAUAUGUUUUGGUAACAAUCAAAAAUUAAGUAGAAAUUGUUCUUUUGAAAUUUGUGCAAACAAACAGACAAAUUCAACUGAUAACUACUGUGGAUUCGAAGUAAAAGAGGAACACUGUCAUUUCAAAACCAACAAUUCACUUCAAGAUAAAUGUACAACUUUGAACUCAGUACUUCAUAUUUUGACUACAGCCUUAUGCAGUUUGAUAACAAGGUGAAAAUGGUAUGAAUACAACUAUACAAUAUAGUCAAUGCAACUUCAAAGCAGCUCUUUCUGUACUCUGAUCCAAUAUGUAAAAGGAAAUACAUUCGACGCCAACUUUUUGGGUUUGUCAUUGAAACAAUUAUACUUGUAUAUAUUUGAAUUUGUGUAUUACACCUUACUCACGACGUUGUAUGCGAACUUAACCCUAUUACCGGAAAGUCAUUUAAGGAGGAGAUUGAUUGAUGAUAAUAUUUUAAAUAAACACACACAUACAAUGAAGUUCUAACGAGACCUAAUUACUCAUUCGAGGUUGGUAACAGAGGCAGUAGGCCAGCUAGCGCACGAGGUGUGAGCGUUCAAUAGUUAGUAUAUACCAUAUCACAACUUGUGCCAAUAAUUGUAUACAUCCACAUACCUACAUAUACCAUAUUUCUUACUGUGAGCACUUUUAUUUUGUUUUGCUGCAUGAGUAUGUGUAAAGUAACUCUACCGGUCUUAGAGGGUUAAGUUGGUUAUGAUAGCAAUGUGAAAAAACAAACAAAAACUGUUUCCAAGAGGCGACACCUUUUAAUCCACAAAUGUAAUCAAAGAUAAAUAAAAUUAAUUGUACAGUACAUAUUACUUGUAUUCAAUUCGGCAUAUUUCUUUGUGAGUGAUGACAUUUCCAACUUUUUCGGAAUGUUUAGCCGAAUUUGUAUUUGUCUAAGACGAUAUGCCCACAUUUGUGCAUUUGUAUGUCCAUGUACACAUAUAUAAAUAUGCGGUGCUCCAUUUCCGUAUCUUAUCGGCAAACUCAUACGUCUUCGAGCCAAAGACACCCAUCUAAUUUUAUAGAUAUGACAAAACAAUAGCAAAAACUCAAUAAUGCAACCUUUUCUGAUUUGUUUUAAAGACAGAGGAAUUUGCAUUGAACUCUUGGACAAACAAUUUUAAUCGGAAUUUUCGACAUUCGAAUCAUUAUCUAUAAAGCCUUCCAUGAUUACAUAGCUCCACAUAGUACUCAGUCGAUACUGGAUCGUGGUCGGGUAGAGAACACCUAUGCUAGCUGCGUGGGCUGUGGGUAAAUUGCCUCUGGUGAGAAAGGGCCAAGAUUCAUUUUUGGUUUAAUUCUUUAAUGCAAGCGAAUCAUAAAUAUUUUGUGUGUUGCGAAGUUAAUUUUGUUCAUUCUUGUACAUAAUAUUCAGAAUUUUAUAGCCAUUUCCAUAUGGUCAGAAUUGUAAUAAUGUGAGCAAUAGUAAGGCCUCUCAAAGGAUUUGUUGCCGUGUACAAUCUAUCAAGGCCGCCUAAAGCGCAUAUUACUGGCGCUGGAAAAAAUAAAGUAGUGUAACUAUUUUUAUACUUUCGAUUAUUAGUAAUUACAGAAGUGAGUGAACGUUAAUAAUAUAUUUAAACAAAAACAAAUGAAAAAGUUCAUUAAUGAAUCGAGUGUUUCGAUUUUUCGAAAGGUUUAACAUUCAACUAAUAUCCGUACAUAAGUAUUCAUACUUUUUAUUUCUAAUUACAGAUUACGAACUAACCACAUACGUACAUAUGUAUGUAGGUUAAAAGUGAUAGGAAAGCUGAAACAAAACCAUAGUAAGGUGCGUUGUCUAUAAGUACAAAGUAAUGGUUUAAGUGACAACAUUAUGUUCUACAUCCACCCUGUAGAUCCGAAUUUGUUUUGAUGUUUGUGGUGACAAAUUCGGUUCUAGAGAGGUUUGUGUGGUUCUAAAUACAACGAAGAAUUGGUUAUGUAAAAACAUAUGAAUUGGGAGAAAACAAUGCGGAAAACAUUAACAUAUGUACGUGCAAAAUACCAUUGUAUACAAAAACUGCUUACAAGAAGAGAAGGGAAAAUAAAAAUUUUAUUCAAAUUCGUAAAAAAUUGAAAUAUGUAAAAUAUUCACCAUAGAUACCGUUGUGAUAUUUUGCUUUCUCAAAAUACGAGUAUCUUACAUUUUAAUCUACUUUUCUAAGCUUUCAUUUUCUCCUUAAAACGAAUUUUUGAUAUCGCAAUUAAAAUAAGAGAACAAACCUUAUGUAAUAAAAGCCACUUUUUAAUUGGAGUAUAGAAUACUUUAAAGUCAAACCAAAACAGAUAAAUAUUUACAAUAAAGUUUUCUUAAUUUACGUAAAUUAACACACAUUUUCUAUUGUAACAACUGAACGACUAAAAGCUAGGGAAAUCUGCAUAAGGUCUUAAGUCACAUUUUAUGGCCUAAGUUAGAGCCAUCUAACGAGAUUUCAGCGAUUUAACUGAAUUCUAACGACACAGAAAUUUUAGUUAGAUAUAACUUUGACAUCUCAGCGUCGUUAACACGAUUAGAGAAUGUGUUCCUAUUCAAAGUCACUGCACUUUUGCUUGAACUACAUUUUACGAGGUUAGACAAAUUUUGUUCUUUCAUUUGCGAAUCGUAGAGUAGAGACAGAAAAGACACUUUACAAAGAAAUGUGGGCCAAGGGUAAAUCACUCAUUCCAGGCUAUAAAAAAUAUUAAAAAUGAUGAUUAAGUGAUCCUGAUGAGAUCCUCAAAUGGGUCUAGUAGUUAACGAGGGCAAGACGAAAUAUCUCCUAUCAUCAAACAAACAAUCGUCGUAUUUGUGACUAGGCUCCUGGAUUAAAGCCACAGUCAUAACUUCGAGGACAUAGAUAAUUUUGCCUAUCUUGGAACCAGCAUUAACAGCAACAACAAUGUCAGCCUCGAAAUCCAACGAAGAAUAACUCUUGCCAACAGGCACUACUUGGGACUGAGUAGGCAAUUGAUAAGUAGUGAGCAUUGGCAACGGCGAAUACCGCAGACGAUGAAACAAUGAGCUGUAUAAAAUAUUCGACAUUGAUAUAGUUCAAUGAAUUAAGAGAGAGCGGUUAUGCUGGCUCAGUCAUGUCACCCGAAUGAACAGCUUUGAUAGUAUUUGACGCAGUACUCGCUGGAGGAAACAUAGGAAGAGGAAGGCUUCCACUCCAUAGGAAAGACCAGAUGGAGAAGGACCUGGCUACACUUGGAAUCUCCAAUUGGUGCCAAACAGCGAAAAGAAAUAACGACUGCCGCACUGUUGUAAACUCGGCUAUAACCGCGUAAACGAUAUCUAUGCCAAUAAAGAAUUUGUAUUAUGACUGUGGAUUAUAUAUCUGGUAGCAAAAUUUCCCAAACUCAGCGAGGCAAAAAUGAAAAGUGGAAUAUUUUUAGGUCCACAAAUAUGGCUAAGGAAUGAGCUGAAAUACUUGCCUGGAAAUUGUUUGAGAACGUUUCAUAAAUUUUCUAGCAAACCAUAACUCGGAAAAUUACGCAGAUUUAAUAAAUGAACUCAUAAUGUCAUAUAACGGUUUGGGUCGAAAUAUGUGCUUAAUAAUAUAAGUAUGUAAUAGACUCUUGUCUGGAUUACUGGAGGGCAGAUUAUUGUUGGAGAGGGAAAAAGAAAACUUCCAGAAACCAAAUAUUCAUGAAAGUCAUAAGUAUUUGUUUAUGUUAAAUAAUAAUUUCCCUAACUGUACAUAGCUAAUGUUCAUACCUUUUAAGAAGAAGUGUAAAUGUUUUGUUGUUACAAAAAAACUUGACGAGUAUUUUUUCAUACUAUUUUUUAGAAGCCAUUAUACAUUAAAAAUUUGAUAUGAGUAUAUGUAUUAUAUGUAGAUGUGUUUGUGUAGUAAAAUAAACAGAUUUUUUAUUUUGUUUGUGGUUU